rnacentral:rRNA from 1 species
ACGAGUUCUCGUUGAUGAUCGGUGCUUGCACUGAGAUUCAACAUGGAACGAGUGGCGGACGGGUGAGUAACACGUGGGUAACCUGCCCUUAAGUGGGGGAUAACAUUUGGAAACAGAUGCUAAUACCGCAUAGAUCCAAGAACCGCAUGGUUCUUGGCUGAAAGAUGGCGUAAGCUAUCGCUUUUGGAUGGACCCGCGGCGUACUAGCUAGUUGGUGAGGUAAUGGCUCACCAAGGCGAUGAUACGUAGCCGAACUGAGAGGUUGAUCGGCCACAUUGGGACUGAGACACGGCCCAAACUCCUACGGGAGGCAGCAGUAGGGAAUCUUCCACAAUGGACGCAAGUCUGAUGGAGCAACGCCGCGUGAGUGAAGAAGGCUUUCGGGUCGUAAAACUCUGUUGUUGGAGAAGAAUGGUCGGCAGAGUAACUGUUGUCGGCGUGACGGUAUCCAACCAGAAAGCCACGGCUAACUACGUGCCAGCAGCCGCGGUAAUACGUAGGUGGCAAGCGUUAUCCGGAUUUAUUGGGCGUAAAGCGAGCGCAGGCGGUUUUUUAAGUCUGAUGUGAGAGCCCUCGGCUUAACCGAGGAAGCGCAUCGGAAACUGGGAAACUUGAGUGCAGAAGAGGACAGUGGAACUCCA